rnacentral:rRNA from 1 species
UACAGAGGGUGCGAGCGUUAAUCGGAGUGACUGGGCGUAAAGGGCAUGUAGGCGGUUAUAUUAGUCUGAUGUGAAAGACCCGAGCUUAACUUGGGAUGUGCAUUGGAAACGGUAUAGCUAGAGUAUGGGAGAGGGAAGUGGAAUUUCCGGUGUAGCGGUGAAAUGCGUAGAGAUCGGAAAGAACACUAGUGGCGAAGGCGGCUUUCUGGCCCAAAACUGACGCUGAGGUGCGAAAGCGUGGGGAGCAAACAGG